CCUACGGGAGGCUGCAGUGAGGAAUAUUGGUCAAUGGGCGUAAGCCUGAACCAGCCAAGCCGCGUGAGGGAUGAAGGUUCUAUGGAUCGUAAACCUCUUUUAUAAGGGAAUAAAGUGCGGGACGUGUCCCGUUUUGUAUGUACCUUAUGAAUAAGGAUCGGCUAACUCCGUGCCAGCAGCCGCGGUAAUACGGAGGAUCCGAGCGUUAUCCGGAUUUAUUGGGUUUAAAGGGUGCGUAGGCGGCCUUUUAAGUCAGCGGUGAAAGUCUGUGGCUCAACCAUAGAAUUGCCGUUGAAACUGGGAGGCUUGAGUAUGUUUGAGGCAGGCGGAAGGCGUGGUGUAGCGGUGAAAUGCUUAGAUAUCACGCAGAACCCCGAUUGCGAAGGCAGCCUGCCAAGCCAUGACUGACGCUGAUGCACGAAAGCGUGGGGAGCAAACAGGAUUAGAUACCCCUGUAGUC
rnacentral:rRNA from 1 species